UACGUAGGGUGGCAAGCGUUGUCCGGAAUUAUUGGGCGUAAAGGGCGCGUAGGCGGCCGGACAAGUGGAAGGUGAAAUCCCCGAGCUCAACUCGGGAACUGCCCUCCAAACUGUUUGGCUUGAGUCCGGGAGAGGUGAGUGGAAUUCCCAGUGUAGCGGUGAAAUGCGUAGAUAUUGGGAGGAACACCAGUGGCGAAGGCGGCUCACUGGACCGGAACUGACGCUGAGGCGCGAAAGCGUGGGGAGCAAACAGGG
rnacentral:rRNA from 1 species